GGAGAUCCUAGAUGAGUGUCUCAUUUGCAUGUCUAACAAAGCUUUGGGUAAUCACGGAGAGGACGCUGGACUCAGUUAAAAGACUGGGUGUUUGGAAAGAGGCAUCUGUGCUCGGCGAUCCCUUGAUCUGCCUCAGAUUUGAGUCCGUCUUGCAAAAGGAUGCUGCAUCUUCGCUGCACAUCUGGAAAUUCCAGAUUUUUGUGGAAGGCAUUGGGUUCCGGAGCUGGGAGGUCUGGGACAUCAUACUGCUUGUUUUUUCAAGCACUCUUCUGUAGCAAAAGUAAUACCAGGAGUGGAAGGCCUUCCCUGGGCAGCCAGCAGAGGGGAGGAAGUACUGGGGUCUGCUGGCACAGCAGAGCUUGCCAAGGGAGAUCUCGAGUCCAGAUCUGGCUGGUUGCAGCAGUUUUGUUAUGGCAUUAUGCAAAGUCCUUUGAAGAUUUCCUCUUGGCAGAGCCUGCCGCGUCAUCACAGAGGUAGAGCAGGGAAUGAUCUAAAUCUUGUUAGGCGUUGUGAAGCAGUCAGAACAGCUGGCUGCAAAAUUAGCCCCUCAACAAAGAAGGAAGCGAGGGGGUUGUAAGCCUGAAAGAGUAGGGGUGAGGCUGUUAGUGAUACAGGACACAGUGCAGCAGGGGGCUGGGGCAGGUUGGCUCUGGCUUGAGAUGUGAAUGAAAGCAAGUGAAGGUGAGUUAAGGUAUUCAGGGAAAGGGGAGAUGAGCACAAUGAAGUCGAUAUAUGGAACAGCUCCUUUUUCUGAAGUUCCACGAUGUUCACCUAAGUGCAGUGAUCUUCAUGUCCUUCUAAUUCCCCUCUUUGCAAUCUCACAAAUCGAGGGGUGGCUUUGCUUUUACCUGCUGUUGCAUACUGUUGGUAACUCACGGUGGUCUCCCAAGGUGACUGCCCACACCUGGGGCUGGUCAUGCUCUGACUGUGCAGGUGACAGAGCCUUGGCCAGGACACAUUCUGUGCUUGUGUUCCUGCCAUUUCCCCUCACUCUGGGGUGUCACAUCCUCAGGGCCCCAGCACAGAGGUCUUUAGCUUCACAGCGAUGUCUUUCACACCUUCCCCACCAUAUGCUUCUCUUGCUUCCCUUUCCUGCCAAAGUACAUCCCCAACUUCUCUGUCCGCAUUUGCUCCUCCUCUGUCUCUAAUGAGGCAAAUGUUAAAGCUCAGCAAAGGAUAUCUGUUGAGCUCUGAGGAUUGCUGGUGGGAGAAACCCCACGGGUGGCUGAAAAUGUUUCAGCAUCCCCCUUCUUACUUUUCAUUUACAUCUCGUCUCUGCAGAGUGGGUAGUGUUCCUUGGAAACAGCAACACUUAUAUACGUUACUAUAUUACUUAUAUACAUUAACUAUAUUACAUAUAGUACGAGGGCUGCUCCGAAUGUAGUGCCUCCCAUUUUAUGAUGUCAACCUACAAAGUCAGAGGCAGAUGUUGGUGGUGUGACAGUAGAGGUUGAACCUUCUCACCAAUAUUCCAUUACAUGUUGUUGCCACGUGACAGAUGGCAGCAAGAGGGGCAGUCUGACAGAAUGGCACUUGAAGAAGAUGGAAGAGCAUGUGAAGCAAAGGUAUGUCACUGAAUUCCUCCGUGUGGAAAAAAUGGCACCCAUUGACAUUCAUCAGUGCUGGCUGAACAUUUAUGGAGACCAAACAGUAGAUGUGAGCACAGUGAGUGAUGUUACGACAGCAGCAGUGGGUCACUUGCGCUAGUACAGACUGUUACGUGCAUGGCAUAGAGGUUCUUGUUCAUUGCUAGUGAAGAUGGAUAGCUAAUGAUGGUGACUAUGAUGAAAAAGAAUGUCUUGUAGCUGAGAAUUUGCUCUAUCAAAUACUGUUGUUGUGCUCUUUGUAUCUGCUGUAGUUUCCACGGAAAUAAGAAGGCAUUACUUUUGGAACAACCACUGUAGAUGCAGCCCUGGAUAAUUCCUCUUCACCCAAUGUGGCCCAGGCUCCUCUGGUCUCCCAGCCUGGCCUCCUGUUUGCCUGUUGAGAAAGCUCAGUGCCCUCGUUGAAUCCCUCCCCAGACUUCCCAGAACUGCGGAGCUCUUCUCUGGAAGCGCGAGGAGAAUGCUGUGCUCGUCUGGAAGGUCAAACAUCCUUCUGGGUUCACAGGAGCAGACCUGCCAAGUCAAGGAAAGAUCUGAGAAGCUGUGAGAACUGAUGAAUGUCAGUGCCAAAGGGAGAUAAAGGGAAGAGUUGAACAGCAGGGGAAGAUCUUCUGGACGUGUUUUGAAAGCUGUAACCCUGAUGACUUACUCCAUCUGAUCUGUGAUAUUUAAAGCAUCUUUUUGGUUAGAGAGAGGAAUGCGGGGUUAGAUAAGAGGUAGUUAAGAUAAUAACAGUGACCCAGGUUGCUUGGGCUUGGGCCUGUUCCUGCAAGGUAUAUUUGAACGUCACAUUACAGAUUCAGAGAGAAGCAGAGGUCAUUUGGAUGGUGCAUCACCUCCUGGAGACACUGUGACAUGCCCCAGGACAUGGGAAGGUAAGAGAUGGCCCUGCAGCACAGAAGGGCUCAACCAGGCUGUGGAGCAGAAGCCACAGCUCCUUUGUCACUGCCCUGUGAACAGAAAGGACAGAGCAAGGACCUAUGGCUGAUGGCAGACAGGCACAAGACAGAAUUAAGCAGCACAUUUAUCACAGUGAAGUGAUUAGCCGCUGGAGCAUACAACCAAGGAAAUGGUGAACACAGGGGAUGGGGCACACAGCGAGACCAGGAGGAGACGUGAGAGUUGGAUGCAGUCAGGUCAUCUGAUAAUAUCCUGUUCUUAUACUACUGGAAAGAGUGCAAUGAAUUGGAUUUCAUCACCUUCAUAAACCUGGAUGAACAGUGCUUAUGCUUUUAAGCCAAUGUGCUCAAAAUCUUAAAGGGCAAUGCAGUAGUUGUGUCAUGUUGGCAUCUCUCCAUUCCAUACUCAACGUUGUUGAGCCAGCUGUUUGAGAAUUCAGCAAACGCAUUUAUUUCUAAUAGGCACACAGUGCAUAACAUUGGAAAACGUUCUCACAGCUGGGCCAUCAGCGAAAGCUCCCUGUAGUGCUAACAGAAUAUUUGAUCAAUAGCUACUAUGUGAGCUUCUGGUGCUGGCGUGAAAUAGCCACUGAGGCUAAGUACUUUCUGAUUCCUAAACUGCAGGCUUGGCAAAGCGGGGCUGGGAUUGCUUUUAACCUGCUCUGAUUGCAGCCACCGCAGGCUGCAAGUGCGUGUAAUGAGGAAGGGAAAAGGCCUCUCUGCAUCUGAGCAUGGG
ensembl:lncRNA